rnacentral:rRNA from 1 species
GAUGAACGCUGGCGGCGUGCUUAACAUAUGCAAGUCGAACGGAAAGGCCCAAGCUUGCUUGGGUCCUCGAGUGUCGAACGGGUGAGUAACACGUGGGUGAUCUGCCCUGCACUUCGGGAUAAUCCUGGGAAACUUGGUCUACUACCGGUUAGGACCACUUCUUGGCUGUUGUUGUGUAAAGUUUUUUCGGUGUGGGAUGAGCUCCCGGCCUAUCAGCUUCUUGGUGGGGUAAUGGCCUACCAAGACGUCGACGGGUUGCCUGCCUGAGAGGGUGUACAGCCACAUUGGGACUGAGAUACGGCCCAGACUCCCACGGGUGGCAGCAGUGGGGAGUAUUGCACAAUGGGCGCAAGCCUGAUGCCGCGACGCCGCGUGGGGGAUGACUGCCUUCGGGUUGUAAACUCCUUUCGCGAGGGACGACGCGUUUUGUGACGGUACCUUGAGAAGAAGCACCGGCUAACUACGUG